CCUACGGGAGGCAGCAGUGGGGAAUAUUGGGCAAUGGAGGCAACUCUUACCCAGCAAUGCCGCGUGAAUGAAGAAGGUCUUCGGAUUGUAAAGUUCUUUAAUUGGGGACGAAAAAAAUGACGGUACCCGAGGAAUAAGCCACGGCUAACUACGUGCCAGCAGCCGCGGUAAUACGUAGGUGGCAAGCGUUAUCUGGAUUUACUGGGUGUAAAGGGCGUGUAGGCGGGGACGCAAGUCAGAUGUGAAAACCAUGGGCUCAACCUGUGGCCUGCAUUUGAAACUGUGUUUCUUGAGUACUGGAGAGGCAGACGGAAUUCCUAGUGUAGCGGUGAAAUGCGUAGAUAUUAGGAGGAACACCAGUGGCGAAGGCGGUCUGCUGGACAGCAACUGACGCUGAGGCGCGAAAGCGUGGGGAGCAAACAGGAUUAGAUACCCUUGUAGUC
rnacentral:rRNA from 1 species